rnacentral:misc_RNA from 1 species
CCGAGUUUACAACUCCCAAACCCCUGUGAACAUACCACUUGUUGCCUCGGCGGAUCAGCCCGCUCCCGGUAAAACGGGACGGCCCGCCAGAGGACCCCUAAACUUUGUUUCUAUAUGUAACUUCUGAGUAAAACCAUAAAUAAAUCA